GCCUGGGUAGCUCAGUUGGUAGAGCACUAGGAACGAAACCUAGGGGUCCAGGGUUCGAUUCCCUGUCCAGGCA